rnacentral:rRNA from 1 species
UCUUCCACAAUGGACGCAAGUCUGAUGGAGCAACGCCGCGUGAGUGAAGAAGGUUUUCGGAUNGUAAAGCUCUGUUGUUGGUGAANNCGNNNANAGGUAGUAACUGGCCUUUAUUUGACGGUAAUCAACCNNNANANCACGGCUAACUACGUGCCAGCAGCCGCGGUAAUACGUAGGUGGCAAGCGUUGUCCGGAUUUAUUGGGCGUAAAGCGAGCGCAGGCGGAAGAAUAAGUCUGAUGUGAAAGCCCUCGGCUUAACCGAGGAAUUGCAUCGGAAACUGUUUUUCUUGAGUGCAGAAGAGGAGAGUGGAACUCCAUGUGUAGCGGUGGAAUGCGUAGAUAUAUGGAAGAACACCAGUGGCGAAGGCGGCUCUCUGGUCUGCAACUGACGCUGAGGCUCGAAAGCAUGGGUAGCGAACAG